CUGCCCCUGUCAGGGGGACAACCCGCCGAAAGGCGGGCUAAACCCGCGUACAUGCCACCGGGGCAUCCCGGAGGCAGGAAAGGCUUCGGCCGGACAGGGAUGGGCAUGCGGCGCAUUAGGCAGUAGGCGGGGUAACGGCCCACCUAACCGACGAUGCGUAGGGGUUCUGAGAGGAAGGUCCCCCACACUGGUACUGAGACACGGACCAGACUCCUACGGGAGGCAGCAGUGAGGAAUAUUGGUCAAUGGUCGGGAGACUGAACCAACCAAGCCGCGUGAGGGAUGAAGGUACAGAGUAUCGUAAACCUCUUUUGUCAGGGAACAAAGGCGGGGACGUGUCCCCGGAUGAGUGUACCUGAAGAAAAAGCAUCGGCUAACUCCGUGCCAGCAGCCGCGGUAAUACGGAGGAUGCGAGCGUUAUCCGGAUUUAUUGGGUUUAAAGGGUGCGCAGGCGGUCUGUUAAGUCAGCGGUCAAAGCCCGGGGCUCAACCCCGGCCCGCCGUUGAAACUGGCAGUCUCGAGUUGGAGAGAAGUAUGCGGAAUGCGCGGUGUAGCGGUGAAAUGCAUAGAUAUCGCGCAGAACUCCGAUUGCGAAGGCAGCAUGCCGGCUCCACACUGACGCUGAGGCACGAAAGCGUGGGUAUCGAACAGGAUUAGAUACCCUGGUAGUCCACGCAGUAAAC
rnacentral:rRNA from 1 species